AUGCCAGGUGAACUCCUUUUGGAGAAUAGAAUGUCUAAUGUCGUUAAAGGUGUCUACAAAGAAAAGGAGAAUGAAGACUUGCGAGUUAGUUGCCCAAUACCUGCAGAAGAUGAGCAGGCAGACUGUACUUCAGCCCAGCAACUCAGUAUGAGUACCAGUCCUCCAUAUGCAACUGAGCUUCCUGUAUUAAGCACAACUCAGCAAGAAAAGGAUACAAUAGAUGAUUCCAUUGAUCAGAAGGAUGUUAUCAAUACUGCAAAGCCAUCAAGAGCAAAUACAGCUUUACCAUGUAAUAGUAACAUAAAUAUAACCACAGCUGUGCCCCUAUAGGAACCCUGAAAGUUAAGUUAUGCUGAAGUAUGCCAGCAGCCCCCUAAAAAGCCAUCUCCAUUUCUUGUGCAGCCACUACGAGAACUUCGCUCCAAUGCAGUGUCUCCCACCAAAACCAAGAGAAUGGAGCUCCUGAGAAGUCUGCUGAGAAACCACAUGAAGCCAGAAGCAAAGGCUAGUAAAGAUUAUUCCAGCUUCCGAGGCAAUACCAUUCCCAGGGAGCAGCUUGAAAAAUCAGGGAACAGAGAUGCCAGUUUAGCCCUAGGGGUAUACCUCAGGGAGUGACUCCAUGUAAUGACAACAGUAUGUGCCACCCACAUCACCAAAGUAAAAAAAAACUCCUCAAAAACUUUCUUCCCAUUAAACUUGAGCCAUGACUGUUUUGAACUGAUUUGGAGGGGAGGGAGUAGCCAGGAAGGAUAUGGAAAGUAUAUCCUUAAAUCAUUAUGGAUUUUGGAGUUAUGAGCAGUAGGAUCCAAAAAUUCAUCUCUAAAGUGAUUAAAUGCUGGAGGAUUACAACUGAUAUAAAUAUAUAUAU
rnacentral:lncRNA from 1 species